CCUACGGGUGGCAGCAGUGGGGAAUAUUGCGCAAUGGGCGAAAGCCUGACGCAGCGACGCCGCGUGAGGGAUGAAGGUCUUCGGAUCGUAAACCUCUGUCAGCAGGGAAGAACGGUCACUUUGCUAAUCAGCAGUGCAUUGACGGUACCUGCAAAGGCAGCACCGGCUAACUCCGUGCCAGCAGCCGCGGUAAUACGGAGGGUGCGAGCGUUAAUCGGAAUUACUGGGCGUAAAGCGCUCGUAGGCGGUAUGUCAAGUCAAGGGUGAAAUCCCCGCGCUCAACGUGGGAACUGCCUUUGAAACUGGAAAACUGGAGUGUGGGAGAGGAGAGUGGAAUUCCAGGUGUAGGAGUGAAAUCCGUAGAUAUCUGGAGGAACAUCAGUGGCGAAGGCGGCCUGCUGGACGACAACUGACGGUGAGGCGCGAAAGCGUGGGGAGCAAACAGGAUUAGAUACCCUUGUAGUC
rnacentral:rRNA from 1 species